CCCUUAGAUGUUCUGGGCAGCACGCGCGCUACAAUGGUCUUCGCAAACGGAUGCAUUCUCGAAGGAGAAUGCCAAUCUUGGAAUCUAUGCCUUGGUCGGGACAGUUGCUUGCAAUUUUUCGACUCGAACCAGGAAUUCCUUGUAAUCGUGAUUCAUCACAUCACGAUGAAUACGUCCCUGCCCUUUGUACACACCGCCCGUCGCUCCUACCGAUCGAAGAGUUAGGUGAAUUGUUGAUCGAUAAGAUUUGACUAUGGUCAACUCUCGUUGUGAAAUUCUGUGAAUCUGACUGUUUAGAGGAAGGAAAAGUCGUAACA
rnacentral:rRNA from 1 species